rnacentral:rRNA from 1 species
AGAGUUUGAUUCUGGCUCAGAACGUACGCUGGCGGCACGCCUAACACAUGCAAGUCGAACGAAGUAGCAAUACUUAGUGGCAGACGGGUGAGUAACAUGUAGGUAUCUGCCCUUUGGCCUGGAAUAACACGAGGAAACUUGUGCUAAUACCGGAUAAGUCUUUACGGAGAAAGCUUUAUGCACCAUUGGAUGAGCCUGCACUUGAUUAGUUUGUUGGUGGGGUAAUGGCCUACCAAGACUGUGAUCAAUAGCUGAUUUGAGAGGAUGAUCAGCCACAUUGGGGCUGAGACACGGCCCAAACUCCUACGGGAGGCAGCAGUGGGGAAUCUUGCACAAUGGAGGAAACUCUGAUGCAGCGAUGCCGCGUGAGUGAAGAAGGCCUUUGGGUUGUAAAGCUCUUUCGUCGGGGAAGAAAAUGACUGUACCCGAAUAAGAAGGUCCGGCUAACUUCGUGCCAGCAGCCGCGGUAAUACGAAGGGACCUAGCGUAGUUCGGAAUUACUGGGCUUAAAGAGUUCGUAGGUGGUUGAAAAAGUUAGUGGUGAAAUCCCAGAGCUUAACUCUGGAACUGCCAUUAAAACUUUUCAGCUAGAGUAUGAUAGAGGAAAGCAGAAUUUCUAGUGUAGAGGUGAAAUUCGUAGAUAUUAGAAAGAAUACCAAUUGCGAAGGCAGCUUUCUGGAUCAUUACUGACACUGAGGAACGAAAGCAUGGGUAGCGAAGAGGAUUAGAUACCCUCGUAGUCCAUGCCGUAAACGAUGUGUGUUAGACGUUGGAAAUUUAUUUUCAGUGUCGCAGGGAAACCGAUAAACACACCGCCUGGGGAGUACGACCGCAAGGUUAAAACUCAAAUGAAUUGACGGGGACCCGCACAAGUAGUGGAGCAUGUGGUUUAAUUCGAAGAUACGCGCAGAACCUUACCAACACUUGACAUGUUCGUCGCGACUCUAAGAGAUUAGAGUUUUCGGUUCGGCCGGACGAAACACAGGUGCUGCAUGGCUGUCGUCAGCUCGUGUCGUGAGAUGUUGGGUUAAGUCCCGCAACGAGCGCAACCCUCACUUUUAGUUGCCAUCAUUAAGUUGGGCACUCUGAAAGAACUGCCAGUGAUAAGCUGGAGGAAGGUGGGGAUGACGUCAAGUCCUCAUGGCCCUUACGUGUUGGGCUACACACGUGCUACAAUGGUAUCUACAACAGGAAGCAAGACUGCGAAGUUAAGCAAAUCCCUAAAAGAUACCUCAGUUCGGAUUGCACUCUGCAACUCGAGUGCAUGAAGCUGGAAUUACUAGUAAUCGUGGAUCAGCGUGCCACGGUGAAUGCGUUCCCGGGUCUUGUACACACCGCCCGUCACACCAUGGGAGUUGGUUCUACCUUAAGGCAAGGUUUCAAACCCUUGACCACGGUAUAGUCAGCGACUGGGGUGAAGUCGUAACAAGGUA